CUAAUACAUGCAAGUCGAGCGGACAGAAGGGAGCUUGCUCCCGGAUGUUAGCGGCGGACGGGUGAGUAACACGUGGGUAACCUGCCUGUAAGACUGGGAUAACUCCGGGAAACCGGAGCUAAUACCGGAUAGUUCCUUGAACCGCAUGGUUCAAGGAUGAAAGACGGUUUCGGCUGUCACUUACAGAUGGACCCGCGGCGCAUUAGCUAGUUGGUGAGGUAACGGCUCACCAAGGCGACGAUGCGUAGCCGACCUGAGAGGGUGAUCGGCCACACUGGGACUGAGACACGGCCCAGACUCCUACGGGAGGCAGCAGUAGGGAAUCUUCCGCAAUGGACGAAAGUCUGACGGAGCAACGCCGCGUGAGUGAUGAAGGUUUUCGGAUCGUAAAGCUCUGUUGUUAGGGAAGAACAAGUGCAAGAGUAACUGCUUGCACCUUGACGGUACCUAACCAGAAAGCCACGGCUAACUACGUGCCAGCAGCCGCGGUAAUACGUAGGUGGCAAGCGUUGUCCGGAAUUAUUGGGCGUAAAGGGCUCGCAGGCGGUUUCUUAAGUCUGAUGUGAAAGCCCCCGGCUCAACCGGGGAGGGUCAUUGGAAACUGGGAAACUUGAGUGCAGAAGAGGAGAGUGGAAUUCCACGUGUAGCGGUGAAAUGCGUAGAGAUGUGGAGGAACACCAGUGGCGAAGGCGACUCUCUGGUCUGUAACUGACGCUGAGGAGC
rnacentral:rRNA from 1 species